GACGGAGGAUGCAAGCGUUAUCCGGAAUCACUGGGCGUAAAGGGCGCGUAGGUGGCGACCCAAGUCGAUGGUGAAAGCUCGCCGCUCAACGGCGAGUCGGCCACCGAUACUGGGUUGCUUGAGCACUGUAGAGGCUAAUGGAAUUCCGGGUGUAGCGGUGGAAUGCGUAGAGAUCCGGAAGAACACCGGUGGCGAAGGCGGUUAGCUGGGCAGUUGCUGACACUGAGGCGCGACAGCGUGGGGAGCAAACAGG
rnacentral:rRNA from 1 species